rnacentral:lncRNA from 10 species
CCUCAGCUCCCUCCUCAGGGAGACUUUCUGCUUCACAGAGCUUGGUCAGGAAGGAGGUAGCAGAACAGGAACCAAAGUGAGUGCAAAGUCUGCUGGGGGCCAGGAGCUGCCAGGAGCCCCCGUAUGUGAGGUUGCAUCCUCAGGACCUCUCCUGGAAAUCUUUCUAGCUCAGCAGCCCCGCAGCUUCAGAAGAUGGGCAUGUCAGGGCAAGCUCUGCUUUCUGCCUCUUCGAGGAGUCUUGCUGCCACUCAGAGACCUGCUCACAGAGGCAGGAAAGUCAAGGAUCUGCUUCCCCAAAGAACAGGCUGAGCCUCACACGGCCAAAUCCCAGAAUGGCUUUCAAGGAAGAGAACCCAGGUGUGUUUGUGUCCUGCCUCCAUCUCUUACUGGCUGUGUGAUCUCAGGCAAAUGACUCUGUGAGCCUCUAUUUUUCAUGUGUGAAAUAGAUUUAUUCGUAAUAACAUACGAAGCCUAUACUCAA